GUCUUCACACAUACCACCCAUUCCCCUCCUUGCCGAGUGGCUUGUUUUGUGCGACGCUGCGUAGCUGCUCGUUUCCGCCCACGGCGCGGACUUCUUUAGGUAGAGGGACUUUUGGCCGCCUCGCCGGGCCCAGGCGACAGAGGAAAGAGCCAACGUGCGUGUGCUCCCUAGUGAGACCUCCAGAGGGAAGGGCAGCAGGCCGAGACCCACAAAGAACAGAUUUGUACGUCCCCUCAGAAGAAUAUGCCCACACAAUUGAGCACGAGGUUCUGCAUCAAAUUUCAAGAGGUUCAGCUCAUUCUGCCAUGAAAUGUUUUUGACUAGAGGAAUGUUUUACCCAUUAACCCAAGCCCUUGGAAUACAGUCAAGAAGGAAAGCCCUUCACUUCGUUUUUGCAACGUAAAGAGCUUGUUUUUAGUGGCAUAUUGCCAUCAUUGAAAUCAGUGACUUUAAUAAACAUUUUAAGUUGUUUGUUAUGAUGCCCCACAUCGAAAUCCACAUUCUAAAGCAAGGGUUACUUUGUUUACCAA